UUCAUGGUUUCAGAGUCUGAUAUCUUCAUAAAUCCCUAAGGCAGCUGACAACAGGGCUGAUAAACCCUGCAAGGAGGAGAGGAAGUGUACGUCUCUGGGUGUGCUGUGAGCUGGGGCCCACGGUAACAUUAGAUGUGUAGAUGGGGGUGGCGAAAAGUGUUGCAGUCAACAAGUCAGCCAUUAGAGAGAGAUAAUCUCUCGUCAGACUGCAUCCAAGCCAACUUCUUCUCCUUCUCCUCCCUCCUUUUAUGGGACUCUGUAAUUAAGGAAUGUCAGCGAGUCUCCUUCUCCAGAUAUUUUGUCUCAGACACACAUGGAUGCUCAAGGUUAUUCAGAAGUGCAUUAGAAGGUUGGACUCCCAGAUGGUGGUCUGAGUGAAGAGGAUGGCCUCUUCAGAUGAAGAGCGGGUAUUUAAAACACUUUUAUCUGAUUGGCUGAGUGGCAUCCUGGGAACUUCUCCCAGUGCAGGAUGUGAGUGCUUAUCCACUGUGGAUAAUGAUUACUUGGCAGAG